UUGUUUGAUGUGCGCCACGAGCC
rnacentral:siRNA from 1 species